AACGAACGCUGGCGGCAGGCUUAACACAUGCAAGUCGAGCGCCCCGCAAGGGGAGCGGCAGACGGGUGAGUAACGCGUGGGAAUCUACCCAUCUCUACGGAAUAACGCAUGGAAACGUGUGCUAAUACCGUAUACGUCCUUCGGGAGAAAGAUUUAUCGGAGAUGGAUGAGCCCGCGUUGGAUUAGCUAGUUGGUGGGGUAAAGGCCUACCAAGGCGACGAUCCAUAGCUGGUCUGAGAGGAUGAUCAGCCACACUGGGACUGAGACACGGCCCAGACUCCUACGGGAGGCAGCAGUGGGGAAUAUUGGACAAUGGGCGCAAGCCUGAUCCAGCCAUGCCGCGUGAGUGAUGAAGGCCCUAGGGUUGUAAAGCUCUUUCACCGGUGAAGAUAAUGACGGUAACCGGAGAAGAAGCCCCGGCUAACUUCGUGCCAGCCGCCGCAGUAACAC
rnacentral:rRNA from 1 species